ACUCGGGAAGCUCAAUUCUCUGAAAUAAACCACCGGGCCUCUAAUGCUUGUAUGUAACCUGCUAACAGUUCAAACAACGGGCCACAUAUGCGACAAUGUCUUUCUUCAUUCUAUGCCACCAAUAGUGCUGCCUCAAAUCCUGAUACACCUUUGCCGAUGCCCGGAUAAAUGGAAUACCGAGAACUAUGGGCCUCCGCUAAGAUCAACUCCCGAAUACUAUCAUUAUUUGGCACAGAAACUCGCCCCUGCAAUCUCAAUACACCAUCAUCUCCCAAGGUCAUUUUCUUGGCACCACCCGCUGCACCGUGUCUCUAUGGACACAGAAAUGGGGAUCAUCAAACUGUCGCUCACAGAUAUGCUCCAUCAACGACGAACGAGCAACCGUGCAAGCUAACACUCUACUAGGCUCAGAAAUAUCCAACAUUACAAAUCGAUUGGCCAAGGCUUGAACAUCCAAAGUAAGCGAUAUCUGGCUGACCAUAAUAUAGGCAAGACUACCCAUACUGGCGGACUUCCUACUCAAUGCAUCGGCCACCACAUUGGC
rnacentral:lncRNA from 1 species